rnacentral:rRNA from 1 species
AUUAAACGCUGGCGGCAUGCCUUACACAUGCAAGUCGAACGGCAGCACGGGGGCAACCCUGGUGGCGAGUGGCGGACGGGUGAGUAAUACAUCGGAACGUGCCCUGGAGUGGGGGAUAACGCAGCGAAAGCUACGCUAAUACCGCAUAUUCUGUGAGCAGGAAAGCAGGGGAUCGCAAGACCUUGCGCUUUGGGAGCGGCCGAUGUCGGAUUAGCUAGUUGGUGGGUAAAGGCCUACCAAGGCGACGAUCUGUAGCGGGUCUGAGAGGAUGAUCCGCCACACUGGAACUGAGACACGGUCCAGACUCCUACGGAGGCAGCAGUGGGGAAUUUUGGACAAUGGGCGCAAGCCUGAUCCAGCCAUGCCGCGUGAGUGAAGAAGGCC